UGGCAGCCUAUAAAAAUGUCCCUACUCGGCGCAGGCAGGAACCAGGUUACACUUCUUAUAAGGCAGCUGAAGCCUAUAGAUCACAGAAAAAAAAAAAUCUGGGGAAAAACAUCUUCUCUGGGAGAUAGCCACUAAGAUCACCUUGCACAGAAGUAUUUCUAACUUUUUUGGUUUUUUUUUUUUUUUUUUUCCUGAUAGUAUUCCCAGUUGGACCAACAGCAUCUGAAUUUGCUGGGAUUAUGAGGAAGACAAAGUAUUCCUGGGGAGCCUUCGCAGGAAGAGGCAGCAAGUUGGCUGGGGAAAACACAAGGAUGCUUCCCAAGACUGUGCAUGAGGAGAGAAAGAAGCAGGAAGCCAAGAGGAGAGGGAAGCUGAAAACCGUGGCAGGAAAAUUGCUGAAGGCCGUGGCUGGUGGUAAAGAGGCAGUGGAGGAGAAGGCCAGCAGUGAGGAUGUGGCAGGGAAUUUGCUGAAGAUGGCAACCAGCAGGAAGGAAGUGGAGGGAGAGACACCUGCAGAGGAAACCAUCUGUGGAUUCAUUGAGCAAGGAAAAUUUUUUGAAGCUUGUGAUCGUAUUUAUGAUCUGGAGCAUUCUGGAAAUGAUGGUGUGGGAAAGUCUGAAUCACUUUAUACGCUGCUGGCUGAACGAAUGUGGACUGUGGUGGGAGAAGCACUCCGUGGAAGUGGUGGGAUGUUCCUGGAGCCGUUGCAGUCAGUGGGGGAAUCGCUGAAGUGGGAGAAGCAGAAGGAAGCAGAGUGGCUUGGCAGCAGCCAAGAGACGGAGUCUGUUUCCACCUGGAGUCCAAACUUCUGGAGGAAAGAUCUGGAGGAAAAGCUAAUACAUUAUAUAACAGCCCAGAUUCCCCCCUUUGGUUCCUGUAGUAACACAGAUGAGGCUGCACUGAAACAGCACCUGAGUCAGCUGGAAAUGACGUUUAUCCCCAGCCUGGAGCACAGAAGUGGUUUCUUCAAGGAAGCAGGACUGCUCGUCACCUACACCCACUGCUGUCAUGCCUCUUUGUCUUCUCACCUUUCCACACUUACUGACAGUAGCAAUUUCAGCUUCAGCCAAUGCCUUUUAGUUUAUGAAUGGGGCCUUAAAAUGUACAAAAGCAGCAGCGAGACAUGUCUGGGACCCAGGCAAACCCCCCAGCACAACCUUUCCUUUGGUGUACAGUGUCUCAUGUGGAUUAUUUUGAAGACUGAGGAAAAGUUACUUGCAGCCACCCGGAAGGAAGUAGGGAAAGCCCUGAAAGAAGCCUUUGAUAUCGGGAAACCCCCUUGUGCAGAUGCUGCAGUCAUUCAGAUUCUGACAGAGAAGACAGAGGCUGCCUGGCGUGUCAGUGAGAGCCUGAGUGAGAAGGUGGAAGCUGUGUGCCUGGAGGAGUGCCUGAAGUUCCUGGACAGGACUGUCUGGCAUAAGCUGACAUACAUUUGCAGUGCCAGCACUGGGCAGGAUGUUAAGGUAAAUGGAUUUCUAGACAGGAUGGAAGAUGAGAUUACGGAGCAUUUUCUGCAGACAGUCACUUCUAAAGUCAAGGGAACACUGAAGGAGCACUUCAAAAAGUGUGACAGUGGUUUUGACCACAUCCUUGAAUCCUUAAAGCAAAGCUUUUUGGCAUUUGGGAAGAAAAAAACAGACACGUAUGAGGUAAGAAAUAAGUAAGAAAGUAAGAAUAAGAUAUUACUCAGGAAAUCACUAAAACUAGUCCUUGAACCUCUGGAUGGCAC
rnacentral:lncRNA from 1 species